GCCAGCCCGGCGCUGGUUGACCAGUUCUUCGGAGAGCGGCGCUCGGCGGCCGCGCGGCCGAUCGCUCUGCGUCUUACUGACGCAGGCCCGGCUCGGCGCGCCGACUGAGCUCUACAGGCGCCCGCGAUGCGGCGGCCGAACACCGCGCUGGGAGGCGAUAGAGAAGGGGACUGACGGAACCGAAAGCCUGGCCGCUGGGCUUGCAGGUGCAGACUGACAGCGGCGAGUCGGUCUGGAGGAAGGCGGAGAAGGUCCGUGAGGGGAGGGCCAGGGCGACGGGCCUUGGCGUCCAGGACUGGGAGGCGGAGGCGGCAAGGACGUGGAGACGAGAGGAACGGACCUUGGAUUCCUUUUCUCACUGUGAAGAAGUUUGAGGGUUGCUGCCAGAAGCCGAGGCAUGGGAGAAGAUGGCCAUGUGUAGGCACCAGGGCCCGGCAGAAGAAAGUCUGGUAAGACUGGGAACAGCCCCGCCCAGAAGAGCCUUGGGGCCGUUCACUCCUGUGUGUUUCCUGAGCAACUCCUGAUUGUCUGCCCUGGCUGGGCACCUGGACACCAGCAGUGACUCUGACACGUAGAGUUGGUGCUCACUAGGUUGACACGGUUGGGGAAGACAGGCCAAUACACAGGAGAACAGUGAAAUGCGGUCUUCAGACAUCAUCAGACCAAACAUCACCAAGGAGAUGAACUGACUGGUGUAAGCCUGAGGACAGAAGAGUGGUGCUAGCAGAACUGGGGCGAUGUGCAUUUGGUGACCGCUCAAGAUGAGACAGAUCCCGGGGCUCCCCUCCAGGGCUCCCCUCUGCUCCCCACCCAGCAGAGGCCCUCCUAUGGGUGCCCACGUGGCUCCUACCUUUGUGCUGGCCACACCGAUCUCUGGUCCUGCGUUGAUGUGGACGCCACAGUCAGUCUCUCGGGAGAUGGAGCUGCCCACGGUGUUGGUGAUGCCCACGGUCAGAGCUCGGCGGUCCUUACAGUAGCGCAGUGCCAGGAGCGUGUCUGCAGUCUCCCCUGCCACACAGAUCCUUCUUUUCAGUUCACAGUGGUCGUGUAUGGAUGUCAGAGUUGGACUGUGAAGAAAGCUGAGCGUCGAAAAAUUGAUGCUUUUGAACUGUGGUGUUGGGGAAGACUCUUGAGAGUCCCUUGGACUGCAAGGAGAUCCAACCAGUCCAUCCUGAAGGAGAUGAGUCCUGGGUAUUCAUUGGAGGGACUGAUGCUGAAGCUGAAGCUCCAAUACUUUGGCCACCUCAUGCAAAGAGUUCACUCAUUGGAAAAGACCCUGAUGCUUGGAGGGAUUGGGGGCAGGAGGAGAAGGGGACGACAGAGGAUGAGAUGGCUGGAUGGCAUCACCGACUCGAUGGGCAUGAGUUUGAGUAAACUCCGGGAGUUUGUGAUGGACAGGGAGGCCUGGAGUGCUGCGAUUCAUGGGGUCGCAAAGAGUCGGGCACGACUGAGCGACUGAUUUGAACUGAACUGAAUGCCAGAGACACAAUUAGCACUUAGAUCUCGAAAAAAGGAGAAUUCUCUAGUCUUAAAAGUAAAUAGGAAAAUAAAACAUUCAUGGGGAUUUGGAUUCAAAGUUUGAAAUUAAUUUAUCACUUCUCAUUUUACUGUUUAGUGUGAAGUGCAUGUUCUAGGGAUGUUGAAACCUUGAUCAUGAAAAUUGGCAAACUAUUCAACUGGAUGGGGCCUCCAUGUGGGGACUGCCACCGCAGAGGCAUAUGGGAAUCACUUGAUCACUUGGGUGUUUAGUAAUGCAGUUAAUGUGGUUCACUGUGAUCAUUUCUGUAAUUAGAAGAUGAAAGCUGACUCGUAAGUGGAACUAAUUUGGAAGGAAUUUAUUAAAAGUUUGUGUGUGGUUGAAUGUUAAACAGAACAUUUAAAUUCCAUAAUUGAGGUUUUCAUGAAAAAUAUGUGAGACAAGUUUUUUUAAAAAUGGCUUAAGAUUCAGGAUGGGGAACACAUGUAAAUCCAUGGCUGAUUCAUGUCAAUGUAUGGCAAAAACCACUACAAUAUUAUAAAAUAAUUGGCCUCCAACUAAUAAAAAUAAAUGAAAAAAAAAAUGGCUUAAGCCUCUCUUGUCCCUGGUCUUCUCUAAUUUUUCUUGAAUCGUAAGACAGAGUGGUUUAUACUUACUCUUCUGUUAUCUCACUUCCCAUUUUCUAUUUAACCCACUCUGUCUGGCCUUGUGCCCUGGUGGAUUCUCAGGUUCAAGAUUUCGCUACUAUUUAUGUGACAAGUAGUUUCUCACCCACUGUCCCACUGAAUUCUCAUGACAACUGGAGUAGGCCUGGCUUGGGCCUGGCUUCCAGUAUUCUUUUUUGGACUCUAAACGAUCUCAUCUCAUUCAGAAUGGGCUGAAAUUUAAUAUUUAAAAAGCAAGAAUGACCCUAAAUGGUGCUUCUCAAACAGAUCUUGUUUUAAAGGAAAACAUUUCUUGUAGCCUCCAAGUGUGGACUCAAAUUAUUUUUACUAAAAAACAACUUAAAUAUGUUCACGCAUAAAACAGCAAGAAGUCCCUGUUGAUUAGUCCUAAAGAACUCAAGUGAAAUUAGAUAUGAUCCGGAACAUAAAAUCAAAC